ensembl:lncRNA
UGUGUGUGUUUGUGUGUGUGUGUAUGUUGGAAGGAGAAAAGAGAUAAAGAGAGAGAGAGAAAGGGAGGGAGAGGCAAGCGGCGUUUAUUCUCCCCCCUUUAGCCUCCCCGUUUCCCUGCUCCCUGUCACUCCAUCCUUCCUCCCCUCUCCUGGACCACCCUCCAGCCCCGCUUUGAGCCGGACCGAGACCCCCUACCACCCAGACCACCCCGGGACCCUUUGACUCUCCUCACUUCUCCGUCCCACCAGCCACAACCUCUGAGCAGGGAUUCCACUCGGGUCCUCUCCUAUCCUGGAGUGCUGUCUGUGAACAUCUCAACCGCACAAUAUCCACUUAACCCAGCUGCCACGCUUAAUUUGAUCUAAAUAAGCUUCUGCUGACCAGGCGCAGCAAAGUCCAUCAGCCAGACGUCCAGUCACCCCAUUCUGCUGAAAGGCUGAUAGCCACAGGUCACAUGACCUGGAAGAAAAAGCCUUGGAGACUUUUGGGAUCCCU